AACGAACGCUGGCGGCAGGCCUAACACAUGCAAGUCGAGCGCGCCCUUCGGGGUGAGCGGCGGACGGGUGAGUAACGCGUGGGAACGUGCCCUUUUCUACGGAAUAGCCUCGGGAAACUGAGAGUAAUACCGUAUACGCCCUUUGGGGGAAAGAUUUAUCGGAAAAGGAUCGGCCCGCGUUGGAUUAGGUAGUUGGUGGGGUAAUGGCCUACCAAGCCGACGAUCCAUAGCUGGUUUGAGAGGAUGAUCAGCCACACUGGGACUGAGACACGGCCCAGACUCCUACGGGAGGCAGCAGUGGGGAAUCUUAGACAAUGGGGGCAAGCCUGAUCGAGCCAUGCCGCGUGAGUGAUGAAGGCCUUAGGGUUGUAAAGCUCUUUCAGCUGGGAAGAUAAUGACGGUACCAGCAGAAGAAGCCCCGGCUAACUCCGUG
rnacentral:rRNA from 1 species